rnacentral:rRNA from 1 species
CCUACGGGGGGCAGCAGUCGAGAAUCAUUCACAAUGGGGGAAACUCUGAUGGUGCGACGCCGCGUGGGGGAAUGAAGGUCUUCGGAUUGUAAACCCCUGUCAUGUGGGAGCAAAUUAAAAAGAUAGUACCACAAGAGGAAGAGACGGCUAACUCUGUGACAGCAGCCGCGGUAAUACAGAGGUCUCAAGCGUUGUUCGGAAUCACUGGGAGUAAAGCGUGCGUAGGGUGUUUCGUAAGUCGGGUGUGAAAGGCGCGGGCUCAACCCGCGGACGGCACAUGUUACUGCGAGACUAGAGUAAUGGAGGGGGAACCGGAAUUCUCGGUGCAGCAGUGAAAUGCGUAGAUAUCGAGAGGAACACUCGUGGCGAAGGCGGGUUCCUGGACAUUAACUGACGCUGAGGCACGAAGGCCAGGGGAGCGAAAGGGAUUAGAUACCCGAGUAGUC